UCCCCGGUAGCUCAGUGGUAGAGCACUCGACUGUUAAUCGAUCGGUCGCUGGUUCGAAUCCGGCCCGGGGAG
rfam:Fulvimarina pelagi HTCC2506 scf_1100011000323 genomic scaffold, whole genome shotgun sequence.